rnacentral:lncRNA from 1 species
AGGUGGGGUGAGAAGAGGAGGUUUUCCUUCAGAGGGAUUGUUCGUCUCAAGUUGAAAAUAGCUUUGAUAUCUUAUAGGUACAAUAUCUACUACUAUCAUUUAGCAAUACAUUAAGGUAUUCUGUGAUCAAUCAGUAAUAAUUACUAUGAUAUCAUAUCCAUUUUCUAUGUUGGCAUGGGUUGGAUGAUUUCACAAGAUCCAGUGAGCUGCAGGACUGCACCAAAUGCCAGUAAUCAACUUGGCACGGGUCCAGCCAUAGGAGCUAUGUCAAACUGUCCAACCCAUGCCAGCAUGGAAAACAGACGUUAAAUGAUGGUGAUUGUGAUGAUGAUGAUGAUGAUGAUGAUGACGAUGACGAUGACGAUGAUGAUGAUGAUGAUGAUCAUCAUCAUCCUCCUCCUCCUCCUCCUCCACAUCAUCAUCAUCAACAUUAACAGCAAUUACAGCAUGAAAUGGGAUGGCCAUUGGCAAUUACUACAAUAUUCUAUGGGUGAUCAUUAGCAAAUAUGUUCACAUCAUGUUUCUAUAAGUUUCCAUCUACCUCCCUUCCUCUCUUUUUAUUUGACACUCAUCUCUCACCCUCUCUCCUAUCAUUGUACCUUUACUAUUACUACUACUAUUAUCAUAUCAUCUUUCUCCCACCCAUCACUCUACUUCUUAUAAAAGGAAGGGGUGGCACUAGAUUUGUCCAUAAUCAAUUACCUCCUACUAUCACUAUUUAUUACUAACCAUCUAUUUCUUUCUCACACCCUUACUCUCUUUUCCUUCUCCUCCUCUCUCUCUUCCACUACCACCACCCCUAUCACUCAUUACUGACAUCCAUCUUUCUCUCUUUCUCACCACCACCUGCUUUUAUUACUAUUCAUUACUCUUGUCUCUCUUUCUCUAUCUCACCACCACUCAAUCUCAUUACCACUCAUCAUUUUCAUUCUCUCUCCAUCUCUGUCAUACUCAUACACAUCCAUUAGCCUUUUCCCUUUCAGUUGUUGUUGACAUCCCUUACUCUCCCUUUCUCAUUCUCUCCUAUUAUUCCAUCUACCAUCACCUUGUCUCCCUUUUAUCUCCUUUUCUCCUGUCAUACUACUCAUAUUGUGUUCUAUUCAGUCUCCUUACCAACAACCAGUAUGUAGCAGUCUAUCACUUUCUUUUCCAUUACUCUCUCUUCUGUCAAUCUCCCUCUUACUCCCAUUGCACUCAAUCAUCCCUCUUACUCUCUCACUUCUAUUAUCCUCUCGCCUUCCUUCUUUUUCAACACUCUUUCUUCUAUUCGGCAAUAUUGCUUUGAACAAGAUAACCAUGGCCCCUUAAUGCUAGUGACACAAAAUAUACACCCAAUAAACUCUGGUAAAUAGCUGGCACAUGAACAGAGGAAGCAUAGAGAAGAAACAAUGAAGUAACCCUUUCUUCUCUAGGUUGACUUCUGAGACGACAACUUCUCAAGUGCUGAUGUCAUGAUAAACUCUACUCAAUAAAUUCCAAAAAUGGGUGAUAGAAGGAUGAGAACCAUGCUGAAAUGGAACGUAUGAGCAAGUUGUGAUCCCAUCUAGGAAAGUAGCAAGUCCUAGGAAGAACUGAUUUGGAUCAUGAUGACCUGUCCAAUCCCUGCCAAUAUGGAAUGUCAGACGUAAAUGAUAAUGAUGAUCAUAUGAUAUCCCAUAGGUGAUCUUUGAUAAUUGCUAAAGUAUUGUGGAUGGUCAUAAGCAAUUACUAUAUCUUUUAAUCAUUAACAACAACCACAAUAUCUUACAUAUGAUUAUUGGCAGCUAUCAUGAUAUCUUAUGAAUAGCCAUUAAUAAUUAUAACAAUAUCCUACAAUUAUUAACAGCUACAUAUCACUAUUACUAUAUCCUAUGGUGAGAAUUAUAAAUAUGUAUAUAUAUAUUUAUAUAUACAUGUAAAAUAUAGGAUAGUGAGUUUUUUUUAGAAAUUUCACUACCAAUGGCCUAGCAUGUAUAAAAGGUCAAUAGACAACAUAUUCUCAAUAUAAAAUAGUGUACAUUUAAACACAAGAGAAAACUGCCUUCACCAGGCAGUUUUUACAUGCUAGAAGAAGUAGCUAAAACGACCAAAACCACAUUUAAAAGCGAUCUUCAAAAGGAAUGAAAAAUAAAAACUUUUACCUUGUUAUUUUAUUCAGUGACCAUGCCAUAACACUAGCAUAUAAUUAAGUGACGAAUAACAUGUGACUCAUUGUUAUACAUUAUAAUUUUUCAAAUUCACUGCACAAGCACUGUUUCAGUCAUCAGUAAAUAUACUGCCGACUGAAACUGCACUUGCGUGGUGAAUUUGAAAUUUUUCAUAGCAAAUUAUUUUAUUUGCUAAAAAAAUUUUGAAACCCAGGUCUGACUGGAAUAAAAUAACAAGGUAAAAGUUUUUAUUUUUCACUCUUUUGAAGAUUGCUCUUAAAUGUGGUUUUGGUCGUUUUAGCUACUUCUUCUAGCGUGUAAAAACUGCCUGUUGAAGGCAGUUUUCUCUUGUGUUUAAAUGUACACUAUUUAUAUAUAUAUACACACACACAUAUAUAUAUAUUUACCUUGAUGAAGCUAUCAAGUAGUUAAAGCCAUAUAUAAUAGAUAAAGCUAUAUAUAAUAACAUGAAGAAUAUUGGGUUUAAGAAACCUUGAGAAAAAAAUGUUGAAAGCUGCCCGUGGGACACGAACCCAUAUCUUCUGCAGUUUUGACAAAUUUGCUGCCAUUACACCAAAACAAUUCUUCGAAUUUCCUCUAUCUGUUUUAAAAGCUUUAUACUUACCAACAAAAUUGCAUGCUGUUCACUUUAUUAUAAGAAUUUUUUUUUAUACUUUAAGAAACUUUGAGAGACACAAAAGGAACUGUUUUAAUGGUGGAACUCAAAGUAGAUAAAGCUAUAAAUAAUAGCAUGUAAAUUAUAGGAAUAAAAUAUUAAAUAAUGUAAACAACAUAGAUUUCUCACUAAACAGGACAAAGUUUCUAAAUCGGAUAAAGAAAAUUCAAAAGAUUGCUUAGGUAUAAUGGUAGUAUCUACCAUGACUCAGAAGAUCUGGGUUUGAGGCCCUCAGGCAGCCUCUUGAUUUUUUUUUAUAUCAAAGGCUCUUUUUAACCUAAUAUUUUACAUCUAUUAUUUAUAGAUAUACCUACAUUAAAGAAGUUUAUUUCAUAUCUCUCCCAGUUUCUAAAGAUACAUACAUCAGUUUAUUUCAAACAUAUCAGGGCUAAUUCAAGGGAGACAACAAUUAAUAUUUUCCUAUAAAUUAACUCCCAUGAUCUGUAUAUUCAUUUAUUGCCAAAUCCCAUACAAUCUCGUGUAGAUUCAUGUAUUCUCCUUGAAGAUGGAGAUAAGUACCAAAGUUCUCAUGUGGCAGGCUUGAUAAUUUGUUGAGAGAUUUCUCUCUGCAUGAACCAUUGUUAGCUUUGUUAAUCUACAAACAAAGUGUGUGUGUGUGUGUGUGUGUGUGUGUGUGUGUGUGUGUGUGUGUGUGUGUGUGUGUGUGUGUGUGUGUGUGUACAUAAUCAGAAUAAUGGCAAAGGAUGUGUAUGAUAGUUAAUGUAAAAGACAAAAGAACAGACAUAGAUAAAUUUAUUUCAUAAACUGAGUUUUUAUUCAGAGUUGUUUUGAUUUCGGUGCUUGGAAAAGUUUAUAUACAUCAUCGUCUGGAAAGUGUCAGAGUUCAAACAAACCAAAACAAAGACAAGCCUUACAAAUGAAAAUAUCCAAUAUUUUUUUUUUAAAAAGUGUUGCAUCUGAAAACAAACAGGAUAAAGAUAACAACUGGUGUGAAAAACAAGAACAAAUACAGAGUAUAAACAUAGAAAGUGUCUUUUGACGUAAGACAGAGAUGAACAAAGAAAAUACUAGCAUAGUCAAAAACAUGAAAAGACUGUUAGAUUUCAUCUUUGGAGAAUAGCUUCUUCCUUUUACAUGAUAUGUAUUGACAAAAUACAUGCCUCAGUGAGAUAGCAGACUCUAAGAAACUGAUCUUCCAACACAAUUCUGCAGUUUCAGUCAGUGACACUAUCUGGAACUCUGAAUCUAAAUAAGAAUGGCUGUUCUUUAAGGCACUGAGCUGGCAGAAUCGUUAGUAUGCCGAACAAAAUGCUUACCGGUAUUUCGCUGCCGUUACAUUCUGAGUUUAAAUUCCACUUUGCCUUUCAUCCUUUCAGGGUCGAUAAAUUAAGUACCAGUUACACACUGAGGUCUAUGUAAUCAACUUAAUCCCUUUGUCUGUCCUUGUUUCUCCCAUCUAUGUUUAGCUCCUUGUGGGCAAUAAAGAAAUAAGAAUGGUUGUUCUUAUUCAUAGAAUUCAAGAAACAGAAUAUUUGCUUAUGCAGGCUAAGACUUGCUAAGUCUUAGUCUAAGGUGAUAUAAAAUUAUUACAAUCAUGCAAAACUGUAAGAAAAUAUAGACGUGUAUUUUUCAUUCUGCACUUGUUCCAGCUUAGGAUGUGAAUAUGAUUUUUGCUAAUGGAUUUAGUUAUCAGACAACAACCUUUCCUUUUAAUAUAUACAUACAGUUAAUAUUAUUUGGGGAGUGUGUUGGCAGAAUACAUUAAGAUUGGAAAUCAAAAAACCUCUGUAUUUAGUAAGCAAAAUGGGGUAGAUAAAUAGUAUGUAUAUUCCAUGCAUCCUUUUCUUCUUUAAUUUCAAGUUCAAACUCCUAAUCCCACCAGAUACUUUGAUGAAAUUAUCUUACUUAUCUGAGACCCCCUUUGGUCACGACAUAGACCAUGGGAUUGCACCUAGAAAGUUACCCUCCCAGGCACAAAUCCGAGCAAGGUUGUUUAUGGCAGACCAGCAGUCGCCCAUGCAUACUGGCCUCCCCUCUCCACACCACCAGUAUUAUCCAAGGGAAAGGCAAAGGCUGAUACAGAUUGGCACCUGUGACAUCGCAACUCAUUUCUACAGCUGAGUGAACUGGAGCAACAUGAAAUAAAGUGUCUUGCUCAAGAACACAACAUGCAGCCCAGUCCGGGAUUCGAACUCACAACCUCACGAUCGUCAGCUCGAUGCUCUAACCACUGAGCCAUGUACCUUCAUUAUACCUUAUAUUCAUUGUCUGUUAGGGGACAUCACCUCAUUAAUAUUAUUAUUAUUAUUAUUAUUAUUAUUAUUAUUAUUGAAUGAGAGAGCAGUGCAUGUCAUCGAAGUGACACUGGGGUAAAAUAUACGAAGCCCAGUAUACCCAUCAUGACUACCUGUCUGAUAAGGAUACACCAGGCACAUGCAUCACAACCAUAUGUGCGCGACAUGGUGAUCUCAUAUCAAGAUAAACAGGACAUGACCUUGCAGGUAGGGCCCAGUUAGAAUUUUCUUCUGGUCGAGUAACCCAUCCUGCUCAAAAGGUCCCUGAUAAGGGUUGCUUAAGGAUGUUGAACAAACCACCCAUGUUUCCAGAGGUGAAUUAUUCAAACCCCAAAGAAUCCCUCUCAACAAAUGGCUAUGAUGCUCCCCCACUACUUCUACUUGUAAUCAGACAUGCACAUAUCGUCAGCCACUAAGGGAUAUGCUCAACUGGUUACGGUCAAACAACUGACAGGCAAAUCUGUGGUAUUGAGCAGAAUAUUUGCUGUAGCUCAUCUUUUAUACCAAGACAAAACAAUGUACAUGAUAACACUUCCAAUUAGUUAAGAUCAGAAGCCAUGAGAGCCACUGCUGGUACUGCAUCAGUAUUAUUAUUAUUAUUAUUAUUGAGUGAGCAAGCAGAGCAUGUCAUCAAAGUGACACUGGGGUAAAAUAUACGAAGCCCAGUAUACCCAUCAUGACUACCCGUCUGAUAAGGGUACACCAGGCACAUGCAUCACAACCAUAUGUGCGCGACAUGGUGAUCUCAUAUCAAGAUAAACAGCACAUGACCUUGCAGGUGGAGCCCAGUUAGAAUUUUCUUCAGAUCGAGUAACCCAUCCCGCUCAAAAGGUCCCUGAAUAAGGGUUGUUUAAGGACGUUGAACGAAACACCCAUGUUUCCAGAGGUGAAUUAUUCAAACCCCAAAGAAUCCCUCUCAACACAUGGCUAUGAUGCUCCCCCACUACUUCUGCUCGUGAUCAGAGAUGCACAUAUCGUCAGCCACUAAGGGACAUGCUCAACUGGUUAAGGUCAAACAACUGACAAGCAAAUCUGUGGUAUUGAGCAGAAUAUUUGCUGUAGCCCAUCUUUUAUACCAAGACAAAACAAUGUACAUGAUAACACUUCCAAUCAGUUAAGAUCAGAAGCCAUGAGAACCACUGCCUGGUACUGCAUCAGGGCAUUUAUUAUUAUUAUUAUUAUUAUUAUUAUUAUUAUUAUUAUUAUUAUUAUUGUUAUUAUUAUUAUUAUUGUUAUUAUUAUUAUUGUUAUCAUUAUUAUUAUUGUUAUUAUUAUUAUUAUUAUUAUUAUUAUUAUUAUUAUUAUUAUUAUUAUUAUUAUUAUUAUUAUUAUUAUUAUUAUUGAGGCCGACUUCAUCUUUUGUCCUUUCAGGGUUGGUGAAAUAAGUACCAAUCGAGUAUUAAGGGUUGAUAUAAUCAACUAAUCACCCUCACUAAAUUUCAGGCAUUGUGCUUAUAGUAGAAAAGAUUACUAUUAUUGUUAUUAUUAUUAUUUCAUGUUUGACUUAUGCUUUACAUUUGUACAAGUUGGCUCCAAGUCUCACCCAGAGACCUCAAGAGAUAACAAGUUAGAAGUUCAUGCUGGUGUUAUGCCUAGGGUGCCAUAUAUUUGGUUUUUGUACACAGCCUUGUUCUAGAGAAUGUUUUUAUCAUGGGGGAGGUCCCAUGAUAAUAAUGAUAAUAAUAAUAAUAAUAAUAAUAAUAAUAAUGAUAGUUGUGUACAGUGCUCAGGUGCACUACAACUCAUCUAAAGUGUAUAUAUAAUCAGGUGUAGUUUCGGCGGAUUUUGGAAAGCAUGAGGGCCUUAAAGGAUGCAGUGUCAUGGCAGUCAACAACUGACGCAGGCAGUUUAUUCCAUGCUUCAGCAACUCUGAGCGUGAAAAAUUGUUUCCGAAAGUCAUGGGAGCUGUGUUGUUUUCUGACUUUGUAGGCAUGUCCACGUGUGUUAGACGCAUGGAGAUCAAAAAGGUGUUCAGUGCUGUUGUUGGUGAGGUGGUUGAUAACUUUGUGGGUGUUUACCAAGUCCGUCGCCAGACUCCGGAGCUUAGUCAACAGCAUUAUUAGUUUUCUUUGGGUAUUUGCCAUUGGGAGGUUUUUAUUGCCAUUUAUGAGUAAGCAUAACUAAAGCAGCAGUUUUAGAAAGGGUUCUCAUGUGCUUAGCUUUUUCUGUGCUUGUUUCCAUUAUGUCUAAUCCUGGAAUUUGUCGUAUUUGGAAGUCACUUAGAUUUAUUAUUAUUGCUGUUGUUGUUGUUAUGUUCUUUUAUUCUUUACUAGUUUCAGUCAUUGUGUGCAUAUACAUACAUGUGUGCGUGCACACACACACACGUGCAUAUAUAUAUAUAUAUAUAUAUAUAUAUAUAUAUAUAGAUAGAUAGAUAGAUAGAUAGAUAGAUAGAUAGAUAUAUAAAUAGAUAGAUAGAUAGAUAGAUAGAUAUACAGGGUGUCCCAAAAAAUGUAUACACACCUUAAAUAAUUGUAAAUUUGUUAUUCUUUGUAAGCCUAGUACUUAUUCUAUCGUUCUCUUUUGCCGAACCACUAUGUGUAUACAUUUUUUUGCGACACCCUGUAUAUUUCUUUAUUGCCCACAAGGGGCUAAACAUAGAGGGGACAAACAAGGACAGACAAAGGGAUUAAGUCGAUUACUUCGACCCCAGUGCGCAACUGGUACUUUAUUUAUCGACCCCGAAAGGAUGAAAGGCAAAGUCGACCUCGGCGGAAUUUGAACUCACAACGUAACGACAGACGAAAUACGGCUACGCAUUUCGCCCGGCGUGCUAACAUUUCUGCCACACACACAUGCAUGCAUGCUCAUUAUAUCAGUAUCAACAGUAUCAGUUCUUCUUGUGCUCUUUAGCUCCUCUGACAGCAAGUUGACACCACUGGUUUCUGUUCACUCUACAACCGCCCAUGUGAUUUUGGCUUCUUUGAAAUCAGUUAUGAAUGUUCUUGCUGUUUAUGGCUUUUCCCCUUUUCUUUUUCCCUUCGGUGAUGUCCAUUUCAAAGCUGUUUUAGAAUGGCAUCAUUCUGGUAGGUGAGGUAUAUGACCUGCUAGUUUUAGCCUUCAUUCUCUGAUGAUUUCGCUUAUUGCAUAUACACAAAUAUUAUGGGUUAAAAUGGGGAGGGGUAAUAAACAAAUUAAGCUUCUCAUAAAGGAAUUAUCAUAAUUUAUACACCACUUUUGUUUUUAAAUAACAUAUAAAUACUAGCUGAAUUCAAUUAUAUAUAUAUCUAUAUCUAUCUAUCUAUCUAUCUAUCUAUCUAUCUAUCUAUCUAUCUAUCUAUCUAUCUAUCUAUCUAUCUAUCUCUCUCUCUAUAUAUAUAUAUAUAUAUCACCGUGAUCACCGUGAUCGACCAGGCUAUCAGAUGUUGCUACACAUCGCUGGUCACAAUGCGCUUUGCAUUGUUUUAGCCUUCAAAUGACGCCACCCCGUUGGCUAAGCGAGCAGGCCAACAGAAGAAGAAAGAGUGAGAGAAAGUUGUAGCGAAAGAGUACAGCAGGGAUCGCCACCAUCCCCUGCCGGAGCCUCGUGGAGCUUUAGGUGUUUUCGCUCAAUAAACACUCACAACGCCUGGUCUGGUAAUCGAAACCGCGACCCUCCGACCGCGAGUCUGCUGCCCUAACCACUGGGCCAUUGCGCCUCCACACACACACACACACACACACACACACACACACACAUAUAUAUAUAUAUAUAUAAAUAUAUAUAUCUAUAUAUAUAAAACUCUAGUUGUGUGAGUGUCUGUCCCCUUCGAUUUAGAUUCCUAACUCCUCCCACAUUUUGCGGUGCAGUUUAACCAAAUUCGGGUAUCUUAUAGUCGUGAUUCAUAUCGAGCCCGUCUGACUAUUAGCGCGCGUCAACGAUGAGUCUACGAUUUUAAAAAUAAUUUAACAUCAUUUUUUAUUCCAUUUUAAUGCAUAAAAUGCAUUGUAUGUCGAUGGCGGCGGAGUUGGCAUCCACGCUCACAGCUGCACCUGUUUGCUUCUCCCCCUUCCCUCCCUCGUGAAGCUGUGGGGAAGGGAGUGUAAAGAAAUCAACGUCGUAAUGCGUUGUGAAGGAAACCAGCGUUCUUUUAGAACAACGACUUCAUGGCUUGAAGACACCAAAACAAAAAUGGCUAAGAAAGCCCGAAUUUAUAAGGGAAGUAACUCUCUAAAAAUGCUUAUAUAGUUAUUUCCCUUACAAACCCGAGCAACGCCGGGCGAUACUGCUAGUAUAUAUAUAAAUAUAUAUAUAUAUAUAUAUAUAUAUAUAUAUAUAUAUAUAUAUAUAUAUAUAUAUAUAUAUAUAUAUAUAUAUCCCUUUAGUUUUUACAAUUCCACUAUCACUGCCACCAUUGUUGUUAAUAGUUCUAUAUUAUUUCAUGUUCUUAGAUAAUAUACUUUUGUUGUUGGUCUUCUUCUUAGAGGUAAAAAUUGCCAUAAAUUGUUUACUUCUUCAACAUUGGUUUGUAAGCUGAGAAGGCCACAUUACUAAAAUUCAAGAUUGAUUAUUAUUCAGAUUAAUACAGACAGUCUUUAAGAGGAUUACCUAUUGAUAAGAGCUUAAGCAGAUUUUUGUAUGUCCUUGUUGAUCGGGAUUUGUCUCGUAAAUAUGGCUUUAGUAUUGUUAAGAAGAUAACUGUGAGGUUUGCACAAUAUAUAUUUGAUCAAUAAUAUAAUUGUGAACGACUGUCAUGAAUAUUAUUUUAUAAUUUUAAAAUAAAACAUUUUCAAUUAUCCUUUUAGUAAUUUUAUAACAGAUUUGGAUGUAAUAAAAGUAACAUAACAACACUUUACUGCAAGUAAAAUAAGUUCAGUCAGAUACACUGUGUCCCACAUUAUUAGGCAAAUCAACCUUCUCUCAAUAAAUAAAUGUAUGUUCAUUCGAAACCAGUUGUUUUCGCACUGACUGUUGGCAACACCUACCUGUGCACUUUCUGUUAAAAUAAAUCAGAUCUGCGCAAAUGUCAACAAAUGGCACCCAUUUUUGUGAUUGAGCAACAUUUUCACAAUCACAAAUUAUUAGGCAAGUAUAAUAAAAAUUAUAACUGAGUCAGAACAAAUGUUUAUUUAAUUCAACAGUAAAGGUUUAAAAAAAAAUUAUUCAUAAAGGACUUAAUGGUAAACAUAAUAAUAUGUUCGAAUGAAAGUAAUCUUGGGAUUAUGAUGUCAUACAGCUCCUUAUGUUGGAUGUAUGAUCCUCCACAUGCAAUAAUCUCCCUUACACGCUGAUCCAUUGAUUUUGUUAAAGUGAUGAUGUUUUCUUGUGUUGUGCCUUGGGAAGUAUCUACAAUAGCAUCCCAGAGGGCAACUUUACUUGAAAACUGCUGUCUAUCUUGGUAAAUGUGUCUCAUCAGGAUACUCCACAGGUUCUCAAUCAGGUUUAAGUCUGGGGAACAAGGUGGCCACUCCAUCAAACCACCUCCGGAGAAGCCUAUUUGCUGCAGGUAUUCCUUAGAAUUCUUCACUGCAUGAGACAGGGCAUUAUCUUGCAUGAAGUUGCUUUUUAAACCAUGCUUGGAAAUUGUUUUUUAAGAAGGUAACAUAUAUUUUCGAUGUCAUCUUAAUGCCAUCUGGCCCGACCAUCAUACCACCAUACUUUCCAUGGCCUGACCAUCAUACGACCUAUGAUGCCAGCCCAAAACAUGGCUCCACCUCCCCCCCUGUUGGUGUCUCGGACGAUGAGGAUGGUUCCUGCUGAUGGAUACCCAACCAUUUUUCUCCAGCCAUCUGGUUCAUCAAGGGCAGCAUGGCAUUCAAGCUUUGAAACAAUGGUAGACUUCUCAUUCGAGUUAAGAUCACGUUUCUGACCCAUAACGACACUUAAAUUGAGCACCUGCCUAAUAAUUUGGGACAGCAGAAAUGUUGCUGCUACAUGUUAAUGGUCACCAUUUGUUUUUGUCUGUGCAGAUCUGAUUUAUUUGCCAACAGUCAGUGGGAAAAUAACUGGUUUUGAAUGAAUAUACAUUUAUUUAUUGAUUUACCUAAUAAUGAGGGACACAUCGGUAAAAGAACUGAUAGAAUAAGUACCAGGCCUAUAAGAAGAGAAUAAGCACUGGGAUCGAUUCAUUCGACUAAAAAUUAUCCAAGGCGGAGCCCCAGCAUGGUCGCUGUCUAAUGACUGAAACCGAUGAAAGAUAAAAGAUAACUAUUAAUAAGCACCUGGUCCUUCCACUAGCAAUCCGCCAUCACCUACCAAUGUUUAAGCUUGUAAAUUAGUUUCGAGAACAACUAUGGAUGUUUAACCUAGUUAAUAUUAUAUAUCCACACGUGAAUGCUCAGCCUUUGAUCUGCAUGUGACUUUGACUACCAACCAACAUUUUCUACCUACAACUGUAAGGUCAAGUAAUACUGAUUUAGUACGAUUUCAAGUCUAUGAUCAAUUUUUAAAAAAUGAGAGAAUGAGCGCAGUUAACAAGCUUGCUUUGCUACCAUGUGGUUUUGAGUUCAGUUCCACUGCACAGCAUUUUGGGUAUCUUCUACUAUAGCCCUAGGUUGGCCAAUGCCUUGUGAGUAAGUGUCAUCGAUAGAGUCUGCACAGAAUCUCAUAAUAUAUACAACGAGCAAAACGCCCCCCACUAGACGGUGCUGAGUUGUCAAACAUUUAAACCAAAUUUUCUCAAAACAACUUGUCUGUCAACCUGUACAUAACUGCACCUUCCAUUUUUUAUUGUUUUUGUACUGCUUAAAGGCACGUUUCUUUCCUGCCAAGCUUACUGUUUAAACCAUGUUUGUGUUCUCCCAGUCAGCAGCCGUAUCAUUACUGGUACUUUAAACUCUUCGGUUGCAUAUUUGAGUGAAUAAAAUCGUUUUUCUUUGGAAUAGAAAAAAGUCUAUCUUUAUUUCUUCUUUUGCUGGUGUCUCAAAUUUAGGUUAAACCACUGGUCAUUUCCCCAACUUUAUAAUAAUAAUAAUAAUAAUAAUAAUAAUAAUAAUAAUAAUAAUUAUUAUUAUUAUUAUUGAGUGAGAGCAAUGCAUACCAUGAAAGUGACACUGGGGUAGAAAUAUACGAAGCCCAAUAUACCUACUCAGUACCGUCUAGUGGGGGGCGUUUUGCUCGUUGUAUAUAUUAUGAGAUUCUGUGCAGACUCUAUCGAUGACACUUACUCACAAGGCGUUGGCCAACCUAGAGCUAUAGUAGAAGAUACCCAAAAUGCUGUGCAGUGGAACUGAACUCGAAACCACAUGGUAGCAAAGCAAGCUUGUUAACUGCACUCAUUUGAUAAGAGUACACCAAGCACAUGCAUCACAACCAUAUGUGCGCAACAUGGUAACUUUAUAUCAAGACAAACAGUACAUGACCUUGCAGCUGGAGCCCAGUUAGAAUUUUCUUCAGGUUGGGUAGCCCAUCACACUUAAAAGGUCCCUGAAUAAGGGUUGUGUGAGGGGGAUGAAUGAAACACCCAUGUUUCCAAAUGUGGAUUAUUCAAACUCCAAACAGUUCCUCCCAACACACGGCUAUGAUGCUCCUCCACUAUUUCUGCUUGAUCAGAGAUUCAUAUAUUGUCAGCCACCAAGGGACAUGCCCAGCUAGUUAUGGUCAAACAACUAGCAAGCAAAUCUGUGGUAUUGAGCAGAAUAUUUGUUGUAGCCCAUAUUUUUAUACCAAGACAAAAUAGCACAUGAUAACACUUCCAAUCAGCUAAGAUCAGAAGGCAUGAGAGCCAGUGCCUGGUACUGCAUCGGGGCAUUCAUUAAUUGGGGAAUUUAAUUGUUUGAAUUCUAUUGUUAAUUGUUUGUUUAUUUAUCGUUUACAUGCAUCGUCUUAACCCCACCAUCUCUUAUCUGUUUUGUGUAAUGUCCUUUUGAUUUUUAUGUAGGCCCUUGUGGCUAAUAAAGAUAUUAUUACUAUUAUUAUUAUUAUUAUUAUUAUUAUUAUUAUUAUUAUUGUUGCCAGCCUCGCCUGGCCCCCGUGCCGGUGGCACGUAAAAGCACCAUUCGUUCAUGUCCGUUGCCAGUUCCGUCUGGCACCUGUGCGGGUAGCACGUAAAAAGCACUCACUACACUCACGGAGUGGUUGGCGUUAGGAAGGGCAUCCAGCCGUAGAAACACUGCCAGAUCAGACUGGGCCUGAUGCAGCCUUCUGGCUUCACAGACCCCAGUUGAACCGUCCAACCCAUGCUAGCAUGGAAAGCGGAUGCUAAAUGAUGACGAUGAUGAUUAUUAUUAUUAUUAUUUCUAUUCACUUUUCAGAGCUCUUGAUUUCACUUGCUCCGUCUAUUUCAGUAAGAUUGGAAAACAACCUGUUUUCAAGGAUCUCACAGGGUCUCUUUCCACGAUACUUAACAUACAAGUGUCAAUCUCAAAAUCAUUGUUCUCCUCAAUACAGCAGCUUUUUGAACAUGUUCUACCCUUACGUCAAUUUCUCCAAUAUAUUCUUCUGGUUGUUAGUGCUUCCAGUACCCUGACAACAACUGGAAUGACAGUUACUUUCUUCAUUGCCCAGAUUCGUGCCAUCUCAUCUUUUAGUGGCUUGUACUUUUCAAUCUUUUUUAGUUCUUUGUUAUUCACUCAUACAUCCCCAGGUAUAGCAAUGUCUGUGGUCUUUGUUUCCUUUAUCAUUUUGUCAGCUACAAUGAUGUCUGGUCUCCGAGCAUCAAUCACUGAACCAUACUGGAUUGUAAAAUCCCACAAGAUCUUAUACUCAUUGUUUAUGAUGACUCUUUCUGGUUUAUACCAUUUCAAUGUCAUUUCAAGAUCCCACUUCUCACAUAAUCUCCAAUGGACACACGAUUAUCAUGCCUCAUUUUGUAUUAUUUUUGGGCCAAUUUGCUACAUUAACCCACAAUACAUGAGACUGUUUUACUUUUGCUGCCACACACACUACAAAGAAGCGAUUUACUACUUUUAUCUAUUUGGAACAUGGUGUAAUUAUAUAUAUAUAUAUAUAUAUAUAUAUAUAUACAUCCCUACAGUGUACCUAAGUACAUCUUAAUGCAUGGGCACAUUUGAUAGUUAUCCGGGUGCUUCACGGGUCAAGGACCCAAUUCUCAUUUAUGUAUUGUUUCUAAGAAACACUAUGGUACCCAGUUGAUUUGCCCGGUGGUGGUAGGACUAUAAUGCUGCUAAGACGACCCUGUACCCCUUAAGUACCAUUUGAGUAUACUGUAAAGUACUGUUUGAGAACCGCUAUCCUUAUAUAUUUGGCAAGUAUCAACAUUUGAAUUACAGAUUUCUUCAAUUUCUUCUCUUACGUCUAGUUUUCCAUUGAAAAGAAAUGGCAUUCCUAUGUCACCAAUGCAUGCUGACGUUAUGCUGUCCAACAAAACGGUAUUCCAGGUAAGACAUUAUCGACUUUUCUUAUUCAAUUCUUAUUUCAACAUGUAACUUGCACGUUUUUAUUACAACCUACUUUCCAGAGACUCUUAAUGCAAUGUGAAAUUCCUACAUUGAGCUGUCAAGAUAAGUCGUAUAUACACUUUUACUUGUUUCAGUCAUUUGACUAUGGCCAUGCUGGAGCACCGCCUUUAGUCGAGCAAAUGGACCCCAGGACUUAUUCUUUGUAAGCCUAGUACUUAUUCUAUCGGUCGCUUUUGCCGAACCGCUAAGUUACGGGGACGUAAACACACCAGCACCGGUUGUCAAGCGAUGUUGGGGGACAAACACAGACACACAAACAUAUACACACACACGUACAUAUAUAUAUAUAUAAACGACGGGCUUCUUUCAGUUUCCGUCUACCAAAUCUACUCACAAGGCCCGAGAUUAUAGUAGAAGACACUUGCCCAAGGUGCCACGCAGUGGUACUGAACCCGGAAAUAUGUGGUUGGUAAACAAGCUACUUACCACACAGUCAUUCCUACACCUAUAUGUUAAUAAUAAACUGUAAUUUAACCACAAGACCAGCAAUUUUGAGAGUUGGUGGUUUUAGUUGAUGCGAUCGACCUCAGUGCUUGUUGCUAAGGAUUUUUUUUAUCAUGGGGCUCACGUUCAAAAGCAACCACUCCGGUCAUCCUUUAUUUCACAAACCAUCACAAAUUGCUGAUAUUUCGUAUUCUGCCAAGUGUAUUUUACUGAGAGCAAUAAUAUUAAAACGAGCGGAUCAUUUCGGUUUGAACGACAAUUUUUUAAAAUAAUUUCCACGUAACAAAACAUUUCAAAACUUCGUAUACUGGUAGAAUGUGUUUAUAAAACAUAUUUUUCUCUUGGCUUUAUUGAGAAAAUUCUAUAGUUUGUAAGAUAUUUGUUGUUUUUUUUCUUCAAUUUCUGCAAUUUCUACCAAUCAAUGACGUCUAUUGAGGUAAAAAGACAUUCUGUGCCGUAUGAAAAUGUCCCUCGUUUAAGAAACAGAUUGGGUUUAUUUACAUUUGUGAAGAAAAAAAGAUACCCUUUCCCCCACCCCUAACCCUAAAACAGAUUGAAAUGCAAUAGAUCGAUACUAGGGUCAUAAUUAUGGGUGACAAUUUCAUAUGACACCGCUAGAAAAAACUGCCGUUCAAACCGAAAAGAUCCAAACGAGCUACUUCUCUAAUCACCACUUGUUCCAGAAAAACGUUUUCAAACUUGUUUUAGUUGUUUUUGACUUUUUGGGCUCGAUUUACCUAGCGCUUGAAUAAAAUAUACAUUGUAAAUGACGUCUUUGUUCUUGUUUUGGUUGUAUUUUUGUGGAAAUGAACUUGCGUCCAAGUACGACCUCUUUUUAGACAUCGGUGGCACUUCUUAAAAAACGUGAAGUGCAGCAGCAUGGUUGAUUGAAGAAACACGACGAAUACUUUCUAUGCUACACCUAUCGUAUAUCUUUCCAAGCAGCAGAACUAGAGAAGAGGCGGUAUUUCAUCGUCUGAUAACCCAACAGCCGCAACGACCACCUUUGAAAAGUUGUUUGUUUAUGGUCUAAGAAGUUCAUGCUCAUACAAAGCACCACAUGUCCUCUCGACGCCACAGCAACACAAAGACAGUCGUAUAUCAUGCCGAAGUGACGCCAACGGACCUCAGCGGGCAGUCGAACGUGUAGAAGUACGUUGGCGCGACAGGAGAUCCUUUCAUGACUAGGUUUAACACUCAUAAUCCUUGUUUGAUAUUCAAGAAAGACGUAAUGUCACAGCCCAGGCUAGGCAUAUAUGGUCGUUGAAAUAAAGUGACACGGAUUACAAGUGGAGAACACAUAGCGAAGUGCAAGCUUUAUUUUGACAAUAGAAGGAAGUGCAGGCUAAGUUUAGCCGAAAAACGAAGUAUCUUUAACAAUUCUCUUUUCCAGGAUAUCCACAUAAGCUGCAGGUGCAAAAUAUUUUGCUCGUCCCCAAAGCAGAAACGAAACGUGAUCGCUUAGCUACGGGUUUCACCAUAAUUAUAAACGCUAGGACCACGUGAACGAGGUCCUAGCGUUUACGCCCGUGGAUAAAUGUGAAAUUCUUCGAGUUUCUUAUGCGAAAUCUGUGAUGAGUGACCCUGAUGACUUGGAGUCUCCUCUGAUAUAUAUAUCAUAUAUAUAUAUAUAUAUAUAUAUAUAUAUAUAUAUAUAUAUAUAUAUAUAUAUGUAUAUAUUGGCAGGGCUGGCCUGCUAGGUAGCCGGCCAGAAUGCUAGAAGAAGAUCAUCAACGAUCAAACUACAAGGGAAAUUCUCUAGAGGAAGAAUUCAGCGAACACCAGAACCAAAUUUGGCGGGCAGGACAUAUGAAAAAUUAAAUAAAAAACAGACUUAAAUGCAUACCUCGGUUUCGGUCUUAACAAAAGAAUUACUUGCAUAAUUCAAGUGUCCGUGACUUCAUCAGUACAUUCGGUCCUCGAGAUGCAAACCGCAAGACUAACCCCAGAUUUUUUGAAUGCUGGACUACUGGUUUUAAAUUGAUAUUAAAAUUAAUAUUAAUUUAUCUCCCUCAAUUUUUAAAUAUUUAAAUAAAUACGUUCCCUAGUUGUAAGCAUUACCCGCAGUGAAUUAUUCACUGCAGCCCUUCGCUUCAGGAGUCUCUUAGCGCGCCAGAACCAAGACAUUUGAAAUUUUAUUCCCGAUGUAAUCAGUAAGACUAAGCACGUGUCUGUCUUGACACAGAGAGCUGGGGUUAGUCUUGCGGUUUGCAUCUCGAGGACCGAAUGUACUGAUGAAGUCACGGACACUUGAAUUAUGCAAGUAAUUCUUUUAUUAAGACCGAAACCGAGGUAUGCAUUUAAGUCUGUUUUUUAUUUAAUUUUUCAUAUGUCCUGCCCGCCAAAUUUGGUUCUGGUGUUCGCUGAAUUCUUCCUCUAGAGAAUUUCCCUUGUAGUUUGAUCGUUGAUGAUCUUUUCUAGCAUUCUGGCCGGCUACCUAGCAGGCCAGCCCUGCCAAUAUACACAUAUAUUUGAAUUUUCUCUGACUCCUCAGAUUUUUUGAAUGCUGGACUACUGGUUUUAAAUUGAUAUUAAAAUUAAUAUUAAUUUAUCUCCCUCAAUUUUUAAAUAUUUAUAUAUAUAUAUAUUACCGUACCUAUCUGGCAGUAUAUUGGAUAUAUAUUAUCCCAUGGUGGGUUGAAUUUUCAACCCCUAUCUCAUUUUAUAUAUAUAUAUAUAUAUAUAUAUAUAUAUAUAUAUAUAUAUAUAUAUAUAUAUAUGCCAUACGUGUUACAGGAACUGAAGAAUAUCAUGUCAUCUAGUAUAUAAUGGUCAUGUGAUAAUAAUUUUCAUUAUAUUUGGAAUUGUUUCAAUAGUACAAUAAUUAGUAACUUAUUUAGAAUUGGCUAUUAUAAUGAUGACCAUUCAAAGCUGAUUAGAAAUAUUUCUUGGGUCGACUCCAACCAUUACGGAGCAAUUGCCAAAAAUGUUGAAAAUAAUUAAAAAUGUAUUUCCAUAUUAUUGUAACCGUAUCUACCUAAACACAUGAACAUAUAGAAAAUGCCGGGGAAGAAAGCUAUUGGCGUUGGAAUCUCCGAAGAAACGAAAAAUGUUUCACCAUUUGCUGUUUUAAUGGAAAAGAUAAUUCUGGUCGGGUUGUAUAUGGGUUUUGUCGUAUCACUCGCUGUCGUUUUGGCUGGUUAUUACAUUUUCUUUUGGGAUCCAGUUCGUGGUAAUUACAGUAAGCAUCGAACCUACGCCUCUAAUUUACCUUCUUUGACGCAUCCUUUAUAAGGUAAGAAGAAUGUUUUAAAUUUCUCUAAAGAAAAACUUCUCAUUUGGCUUUUUAAUCCCAAUGGAGAAUAGGCCAUCGACUAUUCUCGUCUCUGAGUGGUUUAUUUAUUGAGGUGUUGUCCAUCGCUGAAGUAAGGCUUUCCUCUCCCAGGUCUUGCUGACUUUGAAUUGGUCAGAAGUCAGCAAAAAUACAUUUAAAUAAUGGCAUUUAAAAAAAAAAAAAAAUUAUCACUGAAGUUCGGUGGUUUUAAAUCACAAAAGUCAAUUUUACUUGUCAGAGUUUUGUUGGAUCAAUAGAAGUACCAGUUUUGUACUUGUUUUUUUAAAAAAUUAACUAUGUAUUUUUCUUACAAAACUUGACCCAUUUUUAAUCAAAAGAAAUCUAAUUUUCACUUUUCCAUUUGUUUGAAUAACAUUGAUACUUCAUACUUACACAAAACCUUCGCUUCCUAUGAAGCGUAAGUCAUCAAGGACUCUCUACUCUCAAGUCUGGUCUGUUUUUUCCUCUCCCAGAUUGUGUUGGUUUUCAAUUGUCAUCAAUGCUUCUGUAACUUUGCUUUUUUCUAGAUAGGGACGUUGACUCUACACAAACCCAUUUUUACCUCUGGUAAAAGGUGGCUCAUAUUAGUCUGGCCCCUAUCCUUUCAGCUGUUCACCAAUAUAUACAUAUACAUGCAUACAUACAUAUGUGUGUGUGUGUGUGUGUGUUUGUGUGUGUGUGUGUGUGUGUGUGUGUGUGUGUGUGUGUAAAGCAUUAAAAUAAAAAAACAUGCAACAUUCCUGUCAAACAUGAUAUGGGCAUUAAAAGAAGGUAGAACAAGCAAUCCCCAGAUAGAAUGGAAAAUUAUUGCUAAGGCCAAAAAAUACAGAGAAUGGGGCACCAAAUGUGAACUCUGCAUUACUGAAAAACUAAACAUUUAUUCAAUCAACAGAUAACAUCCUAAACAUUAGCGAUGAAACCUUCUCUCCUUGCAUGCACAAGCAGUAUUUUACUCUCAAAUACUUCAAAGAAGAGCCACAUCUGCGACGGUAAUCCUACCAGGAUAUCCCCUUUCCUGAAUGUGGAAUCUGAACACACAUAGGACACAAACUCCGCACACAGAAGAGAUAUACCCCAGUGACGAACUACCUAAGCUCACAAGUAUAAGAACACUACACUCAGAACAAAAACAAAAUAAUGCAAAUUGACCACACAAGAGUUUGCCCAAAAGGCAAAUCCAAGGGAGACAAACAUUCAAAAGAUGCCACCCAAGUGUAACGCCCCUUAAUUCAUUGUUUUAUUCGCGAAGUUUCACGAGAAUCUCCGCGAACUAAACGAGGUUGUGUUUUCCAAACUGGAGGCGAACACCUGUCUCCAUUUGAUCGGUUUGAAAAUUUUCUAAGACACUAGGAUAUUUUCUUACUUUUCUUAACAUGAAACGAAUGGUAGCCUUAAUUCACAAAUAAAGAAUAUAUAUUCACAAAUAAAAAAAAUUAUAUUAAGGCGGUGAGCUGGCAGAAACGUUAGCACGCCGGACGAAAUGCAUAGCCGUAUUUCGUCUGCCGCUACGUUCUGAGUUCAAAUUCCGCCGAGGUCGACUUUGCCUUUCACCCUUUCGAGGUCGAUAAAUUAAGUACCAGUUACGCACUGGGGUCGAUAUAAUUGACUUAAUCCCUUUGUCUGCCCUUGUUUGUCCUCACUAUGUUUACCCCCUUGUGGGCAAUAAAGAAAUUAUAUCCACCAAUGCGGUGUUGAACACUCAUUUUCAUCGUUCGACAUUUACAUAUAUAUCUAUACGAGCAAACGCACCCGCCCUUUGGAUGGUUUAACAUAUAAAUAAAUAAUAGAUAAAAAAAUGUGAAAACAACUAAAUAAUAUUCUGUAAUGCAAAUAUGCGACCAUGUAGAUUAAAAAAAUAUGGAAAACAGUCGAAAUAUAUAAAUAGACAAAAUCCUUUCACCUUUAUAGUAUUCUCUAAUCAAGACCCUCAAACAAUAUACACCAAUACACAUAUAAAAAAUAUAGAAAGUAAUAAUUCACAAUUACAACAUAUAAAUAAAUAAUUUAAAAGAUAGGAAAACCUCAAAAAAAAUAUUCUCUAAUGCCAAUAUACGACCAUAUAGAUUCAAAAAGUAUGGAAGACCCUACGUACAAAAAAAUUAUGUACAUACAACGAAUUAAAGAAAAACCCGUGUUAACCACCGAUUUUCUUGGUUUGUCCAUUUACGCGGGAGCUCUGAGCAAAAUGUUAUUCUUUCUCUAGUGGAAGCAACACACUUAUUUAAAGGUUGAUUCUUUGGCACAAAUCAUAUGUGAUUUACUCUUUUACUCUCUCUCUCUCUUUUACUUGUUUCAGUCAUUUGACUGCGGCCAUGCUGGAGCACCGCCUUUAGUCGAGCAAAUCGACCCCAGUACUUAUUCUUUGUAAGCCCAGUACUUAUUCUAUCGGUCUCUUUUGCCGAACCGCUAAGUGAUAGGGACGUAAACACACCAGCAUCGGUUGUCAAGCAAUGCUAGGGGGACAAACACAGACACACAAACAUAUACACACACACUUAUAUAUAUAUAUAUAUAUACAUAUAUACGACAGGCUUCUUUCAGUUUCCGUCUACCAAAUCCACUCACAAGGCAUUGGUCGGCCCGGGGCUAUAGCAGAAGACACUUGCCCAAGAUGCCACGCAGUGGGACGGAACCCGGAACCAUGUGGUUGGUAAGCAAGCUACUUACCACACAGCCACUCCUGCGCGUUUAAGAAAAGGCUAGAACGACAAUGUUAAAACGUAUUUGAAACAAAGGAGAACAGUCGUAAUAUCAUAAAGGACGGGUAAAUAAGCAUCCUUAAAGUGAAACAACGCAAUGGAAAAGAGGGAAGGGAACAUCACCUUUCAGGUGACUCAGAAUAGGUAAAGGUAAACUUGCCAAAGUUUAAAGCAGUUUAAAUAUGGAGAUUAAGAUUAAGAUUGUUUGGUAUUGGAUAUUCGUCUUGUACAGUGUUCCUAGUUAAUUUAACCACUGUGGCAGGUGGACGGUCGAAAUAAAUAGACGAAAUCCUUUCACUUUUAUAAAAAGAUUAAAAAUGUAUGGAAGAUCUUACAUAGAAAAAACUAUGUCCAUUUAGGUCCAUUUACGCAGGAACUCUGGGCAAAAUAUGGUGCAUAACAUCCUUGGGACAUAAGUAAUGUGCGUGCAAAGUUUGGUGAAAAUCGGUUGAGAAUCGUGGAAAUGUAUGCGCUAGUCAUUAUACACACAUAUACUGUGUGUGUAUAAUAUAUAUAUAGGCGCAGGUGUGGCUGUGUUGUGAGAAAUUUGAAAGAGCGAAAGAAGGAGAGAGCGAGAGAGGGAGAGAGAGAUAGAAAGAGACAGAGAGACAAACAGACAGAGACAGAAACAGAAAGACAGAGGCGGGGAGAAAGGAAGACCUAGAAAGAAAAACAGUGAGAGAGAAAAAGGAAUUCGUGCAUGAUAACGAAAUGUGUGUAUAUGGUGAGGCGAUAGUGACCGAGGAAAAAGGAAGUAACUACAUAUAUAUAGGGCAGAUGGGGGCAAUUUAAUAAUGAAGUGCUCUGUGAAGGUAAAGGCGUAAGAGUAAGCAAGCGAAGAAGGGGAGCUACUCAAAUAUACGGGAAAGAGAAGCACAUGGAAAAGCAACACUCGAUCCAAUGCUGGUUAACUCCAUUGAGACGAAGUUCUUAGUUAUAGAGAAAUCGCUUGUCUUCGAACUCGAGAAAGAAGACGAAGGUAUCACAAGAAGUAAUAGACGUAGGAGUGGCUGUGUGGUAAGUAACUUGCUUACAAACCACAUGGUUCCGGGUUCAGUCCCACUGCGUGUCACCUUGGGCAAGUGUCUUCUACUAUAGCCUCGGGCCGACCAAUGCCUUUGAGUGGAUUUGGUAGACGGAAACUGAAAGACGCCCGUCGUAUAUAUGUAUAUGUAUAUAUAUAUAUAUGUACGUGUGUGUGUGUAUAUGUUUGUGAGUUUGUGUUUGUCCCACCAACAUCGCUUGACAACUGAUGCUGGUGUGUUUAUGUCCCCGUAACUUGGCGGUUCGGCAAAAAGAGACCGAUAGAAUAAGUACUAGGCUUCCAAAGAAUAAGUACUGGGGUCGAUUUGCUCGACUAAAGGCGGUGCUCCAGCAUGGCCACAGUAGUCAAAUGACUGAAACAAGUAUAAAAGAGUUUAAAGUGUAUUGGAGAGUUGAUCUACAAAACCAUCUCGAUAAACACAAGAAAAAAAAACAGAAGCAACGGCCGAGGGGAAAAGAAUAACAAAAUGAAACGGAAACAAAACGAAUCAUAAUAACGUCUGAAGGUUAAAAGGUUAACAGCCUGAUGCCUGCAUCCGUGACUGUGAAAAAAAUAUGUGUGACGAAUGGGUUAAAUCCCUCCAUUGUUUUAUGGUACGUGGUCAUGUGGUAAGAAGCUUGCUUCGCAACCAUAUAGUUCAGGUUUCAAUCACACUGCGUGGCAUCUUGGGCAACUGUUUUGUACUAUAGCUUCGGGCCGACCAAAGCCUUGUGAAUGGAUUUGGUAGAGGGAAACUAAAAGAAGUUCGUCAUAUAUAUAUAUAUAUAUCGUCUGCCGAUGAAGGCAUUUUUUCCAAAUACGCCAGCUAAACUUGUUUUACUGUUUAUUAGUCGUAAGAUACCCGCUGUUUUUUGUCCAGUUUUUACCAUUAUUGUUUUUUGUAUUUUAUAUUCGUGUGGCAUCGUCCGUUUUUCUGUCCCUGUUUCGUAUACAUUCGAUCCUUCUUCCAAGAAAUCUAAUGCUCGUAGCUUAGUUUUUCCUUGGGGCUGGCCGGAUCGGAGCGAUCUCAAGAUUAAUCAGCCGAAAUUGCUAGGAUGAUCCGGUUCUUGACUGAAGAUUGAAGGCUUCGAAUGUCCCGUCCGUGUUUUUUGUAUCAUCUUCUAAAUGUUUUACGUUCCUGUCCCAGUUUGUAUUUUUCUACAUAUAAUAUAUAUAUAUAUAUAUAUAUAUAUAUAUAUAUAUAUAUAUAUAUAUAUAUAUAUAUAUAUAUAUAUGUAUGUAUAUGUAUGUAUGUAUGUAUGUAUGUAUGUAUGUAUGUAUGAAUGUAUGUAUGUAUUCUUCACCACUACCGAUUGAUAACGAGUGUUGGUGUGUUUACGUUCUCGUAAACUAUCGGUUCGGCAAAAAGGCCGAUAGAAUAAGUACGAGGCUUAAUAAAAACAUAAGUUUUGUGAUUAAUUCAUUCAUCUAAAAAUUGUUCUAGGCGGUGCUCCAGCAUGACCGCAGUCUAUUGACUGAAGCAAGUAAAAGAAACAUGAAUAUUAUGUAUGUACAUACGUACAUAUGUAUGUGUUUGUGUGUGCUUGUGUGUAUGUGUGUGUGCUUGUGUGUGUGUGUGUGUGUUUGUGCCGGUGCGUGUGUAUGUGUGCGGGCGCGUAUUGAAAAGGUGGCACACAAGGUUGACCAAGAAAUGUGUGUAUAUGUGUGUGUGUGUGUGUGUGUGUGUGUGUGUGUGUGUGUGUGUUUAUGUGUGUUUAGGUAUUUGUGAACCACCAGGGAUCUUUCUCUAGUACUAAUAUUAACCUUUGUCAUGGACCUUUGACAUUUGACAUAGACUUUUGAUCUUUGAUAUGGAUGUUUGACUUCUUACAUGGACCUAUGGCCUUUGACGUAAAUAUGUGACCCUAGGGACCCCGGCUGAGAACCGCUGAUCUAAGUAAUACUCUUUACUCUCUUUUACUUGUUCCAGUCAUUUGACUGUGGCCAUGCUGGAGCACCGCCUUUAGUUGAGCAAAUCGACCCCAAGACUUAUUCUUUGUAAGCCUAGUACUUAUUCGAACCUCUAAGUUACGGGCACGUCAACACACCAGCAUUGGUUGUCAAGCGAUGUUGGGGGAACACACACACACACACACACACACACACUCACACACACACACACACACACACACAUAUAUAUGUAGCGUGGCAAUUUCAGCCUUUUUGAAAUAUGACCAUAGCGAUUGUUAAUAUCUUGACUGUGUGAAGGGCAAGGCAGAAAUGAUCUCGUUUGAGGUUACAACCAUCUUUGGUCAACUUGUUCUUGUUCUAAACACUAACUUGAUUGGCUGACAGGUGACACGAGGGGUCUCUACGUAUUUCGCCCCACUGUUUGACAUGUGACACGAGGGUCCCUACGAAGUCCGCGCCACUGAUGGACACGUGACGCGAAUUGUCUCGACUUAUUUCGCGCCGCUGUUUGACAUGUGACACGAGGGUCCCUACGAAGUCCGCGCCACUGAUGGACACGUGACGCGAAUUGUCUCGACUUAUUUCGCGCCAUAAUUGCGAAUCAGCCAAUCAAGACUUUCGGUUAAAAUUCCAUUUUCUGGAGUUUGGUGAGCCAACCGAACAGUAUAUAAAGCAGGGUUUCACAGACACUUAGGUCUUGGGUUCCAGUUCUUUUGAGAACUAACUUAGGCCUCUGCUGCUCAACUUAGAGAUAUGCGAUUGUCUCUGCUACUACCUGUUGCUACGCUAAUCUAUACAAACACUGAAAGCCUCUCGAGUAGAUUCCAGCAUCUUGUCCUAUGAACAGUAAACUAAAUGCAAUUCUUAAUUCUAUGUUCAGUACCUUUGGGUAUGCUUCACGCCACCCGAACACACAGACACAAAACAUGCUAACGCUUACCAACUCUUAGAAUCCACAUGAUUGUAAAAUAUGUAAAAUAAAUAAUAUUUAUCUACCAACAGAAGACUUGUGUCAAUUCACUUAUGUUCUAUUAUCGUCUGUAUGUAUUUUAUGGCCUUGGAUAAUUCGUUAAGAGUAGAACCGCGUGCAAUCGUAUUUCCUACACGAUACGACCAAGCGUGAUCCUAUUUCUUACAUAUAUAUAUAUAUAUAUAUAUAUAUAUAUAUAUAUAUAUAUAUAUAUAUAGAUAAACUUAGAUAUGUUUCGACCAAAGAUUGGUCCAGGCCAUGUCUAACUUAAUAGUACCAUAUAUACGACGGGCUUCUUUCAGUUUCCGUCUACCAAAUCCACUCACAAGGCUUUGUUCGGCCCGAGGCUAUAGUAGAAGAUACUUGCCCAAGGUGCCACGCAGUGGGACUGAACCCGGAACCAUGUGGUUUGUAAGCAAGCUAUUUACCAAGUAGCCACUCCUAUUACGCUGAAGAUGAAGUGAAUAACCUGCAAAACUAUAGCAUUUUGAUGACAAUAAGCUAUCUCGGGAAUUAAGGAAGGUUAUAUUGACUGUAACUUCAUGAUUCGUAUUUUUCACAAUUAUACUGUUUACGAAAAUGUUGUCAAAUUCGAAAUAAACAUAAUUCGAAAUCUAUUAAGCAAAAUACAAGCUUAUGAUAAAAAUCGAAAAUACAAGGGCGGGAAUAUAAUAAUUUAUUAGAUUAUCAUAUUUGUAAAGCUAAUUAAGUAAUACUAUGCUUUGGACUUUGCUGCUGUCGAAGUAAUUAUCGCUCAUAACACGAAAGUGUUAUACUAAUUAUUUUAUUAACCAGACACUACCUUCAUAUUAUCCUAUAAUUUACUUUUAAUACUGAAACUAGCGUCUCCCCGAUUAAAUAUUUUUGUUUUUAUUUAUAAUCUUCUUUUCUGAAAAUUCUGUUAUAAUUUUCUGUUAGAUAUCUGUGGUAAUUGUUUUCCGAUUCCAUUUCAUAAUAACAUUGAUUCAGUUUUCUUCUCCAGUUUAUAUUCAUACUCAAAACUGCAGCUAUACCACUUGUAAAGUAGUUGUAAAAACCAGUCUUUAUAGCUUUUAGACUCUUACUAAAAAAAAUGUCUUCAACCGAUGUUGCUGUUGAUGUUCCAGACACUGACGAUAAGAAAACCUCAAGAGCCAAAAUAGUUGGACUCCAAAAGAAAGCUCCACCAUCAAUAGCCCAGAUUAUUUCCUUAAAAUUUCUGCUCAUCUCCUUAUAUGUUGGUAUCGAAUUUGGUCUGGCAUUCUUCCUCGGUAUUUAUUACGUAUUCCUAUGGGAACCGGUUCGAGGAAAUUACAGCAGACAUCACAUUUAUGUCGGACACAGUUCUGCAGUUUUUCACCCGAAUUGAUCCCCUGACUUCACGUAGGAACAGAUGUUCGGUUUACAAGUAUGUACAUUUGUUUACAUGUAUUCAUUGUUCCAUUUAUGCGCUGUUCUAUUUUCAUUUAAAAAUCUAAAAUUCUUCAUAAAUAUACUUCACGUGACAGGCAGCAUUUUGCUUAUAUAUCAACUUUCUUUUAGUCUAGGUAAUAUUGUGACUUAAAUGUACGAUCUUUUCUGCUUGAAUAUAGAAUAUAAUCUUUAACAUUUAAAGAUUAUAUGUUCUCUUGAUAUUAAUAGUAAUUUGUAUUAUACUUCAUUAUAAAUCUACGAUUAUUAUUGAUAAUAAUCAAUCAGUUGCUUGAAAUUGUUGCCUGUAGAUGAAGGAACAAUGUCAAAGAUCUUUCUAGUUUGUCAGAUUGAUGAAAUGGUUGCGCUUUAACUAGGGCCUGUGUAGGUCGUCGUUGUCGUCGUUGUCAUCAUCAUUCUCUGGACACGGUGUUUUGUCCUAGGACUUAUAGGGCCUGUUACUCCAUUUUCGUGACUUAUAAGCGACCGACAUCACAACAUUCCCCUGAACAGGCCUUCAGUCCGUUGCAUGGUUACUCAUUUACAGGUGAAUGAACUGGGAAUUGAAAUUACGACCUUGUGAUUGUGAGUACAACACUCUGACCACUAGGCCACGUGCCUUCACUUAGGUUGAUCGACUCAUGUAGAAAUACGUGAAAAGUGUGAAAAGUCCAGAAAUUUACCCUUUGUUGAUGAAAUAUUAAGUAGAAAGUAUUUAAUGCGAAUUUUGAUAGGAGGUAAAAACAAUAUGAAAGAGUAUCAGUGUGGAAUACAGCUUACAAGUUUGUAACGGCUUUGAUACAUCCAAAAGCAUGCAAAGUAAAGUUUGUGUUUGUGUCCUCUUCAUUGUUUAGUAGUAAUUGCUGAGACCGAUAGAAUGAUGUUGUAAGAGAACAGAAUUAGAGCUAGAGAGAAUUGUAGGGUGUGGGACGUUGCUGACAGUAAAUUUCAUUUCUCUCGCUGACCAAAGUUCUAGCUGGUCAGCCAGACUUCGUUCUCACUGAGUUGUCACCGCAGUGGCUAACUGAUUUUUGCUUGGGGUAUGCUUGCUUAUAUAACUAUCUAGAAGGAUAGAUAUACCAUUGAAAACAAUAGAUUUAGUUGGUGGUCUUGUUAUCUAUUCUAGCUUUUGGUGAUGUAGAAGAGGUUAGAAAGGGUCAAGUGGUGAAGACAUUAUUUCGGCCUAGCUAAAAGCAUCAGGAAAAUCUAAAACUGCUGUCACAGAAAAACUAUUGUUCCAUCGUGGGAAAAGUUCUGUUGCAGUGUUAAUUUAAAUUUGGCUGUGAUGGAUCGAAUCUACUUCAUGCAUAGAAGAUUCGCUACAAGUUCUUAGAAGUUACUAGUUCUUAGAGUUCCGUAGAAAAGGUUAAAGAAGCAGAAUAUCUAUGUGUUUAUGGUUUUUUGCACCCUUGAGCUUUGUUAGUCAGUUUAAUUUCUUUCUAUUUUGGUGUGGUCAACGAUAUUCAUUUAAUGUUGUUCUCUGUAUCUGAAGAAUUUGUACCUUGUCUACUUCAGUAAUUUUUUUUUACCAAGAUUAAAUCUCAUCUUUUGGAUAGAAAGUUUCCUCUCAGAUAGUUCCUUCAAAGUGUGUACUCCUGAGACUCUCUCUCUCUCUCUCUCUCUCUCUCUAACCCAUACUCUAUCUACUCUACUAUGUUUCAAAGAUGAAUAAUUCUUCUAUACUCUUCCAUAGAUAUUUUGUCUUUUACUCUAUACAUAUUUCUUCACUUCCCACUAGGGGCUAAACACAGAGGGUACAAACAAGGACAGACAAACGGAUUAAGUCGAUUACAUCGAUCCCAGUGCGUAACUGGUACUUAAUUUAUCGACCCCGAAAGGCUGAAAGGCAAAGUCGAUCUCGGCGGAAUUUGAACUCAGAACGUAGCGGCAGACGAAAUACGGCUACGCAUUUCGCCCGGCGUGCUAACGUUUCUGCCAGCUCGCCGCCUUCUUUUACUCUAUACAACUCUCGCAACAGCGCCAUACCAGUCACACAUAAAAUUUGUGGAGAACGAGUUACUGAUUAGGUUGAAUUAUUUUCGGUUUCAAAAGAAGCCAAGACUUUGGUUCUGCUAUAAGCAAUAAGUGAAAUCGCUAUGAGAGAUUUUGAAGCUAAGCACAAAUUCGACUUUGUUAAAUUGUUUGUUCUGAGACAUAAAUGAUCGAAUGUUUGUAUUGUUCAGUAAGUCAUUGUCAUGUCUCAAAUAAAGGAUUAUUUUAAGGGUUCUGUUGAUAGAUGUAGUGAAAAUCCGAUCUGAUAUGUCUAAGUCGAGGAUCAGGUCUGCAUAAGUAUGGUUAAGAAGUGGAGAGUUUUAUCCUCAACUAGGGUUGUAUAGAGUAAAAGGCUAACUGUCAUCAGUAUACAGAAGAAUAUAGAAGACUUAUUCAUCUCUGAAACAGUAUAGUUGAUAGAAUGUGGGUUAGAGAGAGAGAGAGAGAGAGAGAGAGAGAGAGAGAGAGAGAGAGAGAGAGUUUUAGUAGAACACACUUCGAAGGAACAGUCUGAGAGGAAACUUUUGAUCCAAAAGAUGAGAGUUAAUCUAGAUAAAAAAAUUACUGAAGUAAGACAAGGUCCAAAUUUUUUUUGAUACCGUGAACAACAUCGACUUCAUCGAAUUUCACAAGAACGAAAAUUCAGAAGUGUGUGAGAAAGAGUCACGUAUAUCUGUGUUCUCUAAAUAUUGAAAUUUGAUUGGAACAAAUACAGAUAGAACAAAGAAAGGUAGAUAUAAAAGUAUGUAACUCGUCUUCGUACCAACAUGGACUACAAGUAUAAAUAUUUAAAUAUUGGCACAAACAUACUUACGCAUAUGAAUUUACAAACAUACAAUCACACAUGCACACAUUUCUAUAUAUAUAUAUAUCAAUCAUAUAUCAUAUAUAUAUAUAUAUAUAUAUAUAUAUAUAUAUAUAUACAUACACAUAUACAUGCAUACAUGUACAUACACUCUCACAUACACAGCAGAUAUGUAGAUUUAUUUAUAUAUAUAUAUAUAUAUAUAUAUAUAUAUAUAAAUAAGCAACAAGGAUAUCCAGAGGUAAUGCAGUACGAUCGUUUCAUGCGACUCCAUUUAAUUGAAAAAUGCAAUCAUUUCAUUACAUCAGUUUAAAAUGUAGAGCAAUCUUCAGCUGCACAAAGACAUAGAAUUUAAUUAAAUUAGAAGGACACAUUAAUAUAAUUUUACCUAAAAUCUCCAAGAGCUUGAGGAGAUAGACAAAGAACAUGUUUUGUUGGUAAAACACGUUCUUUGUCUAUCUCCUCAAGCUCUUGGAGAUUUUAGGUAAAAUUAUGUGUCCUUCUAAUUUAAUUAAAUCUAUCAGACGCCAUGAUAGAUCGUUAGCCACUACACACAUUUUUUUUCUCUCCUUGUUUCUCUCCUUGUUUUCUGUGUUCCUUUCUGUAGAAGAGCGUAGGCUCGAAACGUAAAAUACUUUUCUAUUCCUGAGCGUUAUACUAAUACAUCUGUUUGUUUUGUACACCACCUAUCUUCGUCUUUUGUUGUUGUUUUCGUAAACUCUCCCUAUAUAUAUAUAUAUAUAUAUAUAUAUAUAUAUAUAUAUAAGAAAAAUAAAAACGGAAAAUACGCACUUACAUGGUUAUAGUAUAAUUUUUAAUGUAUCGACCGGUGUCGCAAUCGCUAUUCAUGAUACAAUGUUUAAUUUAUAUGAAAAUAUAUUUUUUCUUAAGAAGAAAAUGGGUCCAUGUUGUUUAUAAUGAGAUUCACGAGUGAAUGAUUUUACAAGUUGACAAGUAAAGGGUUGUUAUUGUUGUCUGUAAGGGAGAUAACUGUUUAGGUUUUGGGUGGGGAAAAAUAUGUGUACAGAAAGGAGACAGGUUUAAAAAAAAAGGGGGGCCUUGUUUAGUAGGGGAUUUAUGUACAGUGAUGUAAUAUGUAAAAAUAUAAAAAUUGGUUAUGCGUGCUUAUUCAGACGCGUUUUGUAUUUUUCAAUGAAAAAAGUUUCUUUAUUUAAGCGUUCUAGUUGAGAGAUUUUGUCUUUGCACUGGUAGAAAGGGAAGACUGUAAAAUUUGGUUUGAUGUUACCUGCACAUUUUUCUAUGUGUUCACGAAGAGGGAUUUGUCUGUAUUUCGGGAAACGGAUUUGCUCUUUAUGCAGAGUAAUUCUCUUCCUCAAAAUUAAACUCGUUUGUCCAAUGUACUGAUGACUGCAACCCGAGCAUGUUAUUACAUAAAUUAGGUUCUCAGAGGCACAGGUGAAACUAGUUUUAAUUGUGAACCUCUGUCCUUGUUUGAAAAGGAAGUCCGAGCCUUCAAGCAGGUGGGGGAAGGUUUCACAGUUCGGGCGUCCACAUUUUUUAACCGCUGGUUUCGUGGUUGUUUUGUAAAGCUUCGCAUUUGUUAGAAGUCUCUUUAGCGAUUUGUCUUGUUUUUUGCAUUUGAUGAGUUUGUGUGUUUUCAGGAUGUCGUUCAUUUUUGGAUCUCUAGUUAGUAAAGGGAGAGUUUGCACAAUAGUGUUGAAUGCCUCACUGUUUCUGGGGUUGUGUGUCGAUAUAAAAAGUAGUGUUUUGGUUUGAGGUGUGGUGCUAUGUUUUUUUGUUCUUAGUGUUUUUGUGUCUAAUUGUUUGGCACGUUUAAUUCCCUAGUCGAUAAGAGAAGGUGGAUAUUGUCUUUCAAUAAGUGUUGUUUUGAGGUCUUGAAGACGAAGGUCCCGAGUUGUUCUGUCAGACACUAUUGUGCAGAUCCUUUUUGCUAAGUUAAAAGGGAUGUUUAUUUUUAUGUGUUUCGGGUGACAUGAGUUAAAAAGAAGGUAUUGUUUUGCGUCAGUUGGUUUAUAAUAAAUGUCAGUUAUGAUUUCAUUGUUGAUUUUUUUUAUCAUGAUGUCUAAAAAAGGAAGUUGUUCUUUAUCAUAUGCCAUUGUGAAUUGAAUGUUACUAUUUAUGUCAUUUAGUGUUGUUUUGAAAUCCAAAAGUUUGUCGAUGUUCUCCUUCCACAUGAUAAAACAGUCAUCCAAGUAUCGCUUCCAAUUUUCUCUUAUGUAGAGGUAAAAUGGGUAACCAUAUUUCUGAAGUGAUACUUCAUAUAAGGUGAAUUCAAAAUAGCCCAUUAUUAGAUUCGCAAGAACAGGAGCUGCUUUCGUCCCCAUCGCAAUUCCGCAUUUCUGACGAUAGUAUGUGUCAUCAAACAGGAAAUAAUUGUUCUGAAGUAUAAAUUUUAAGGAUUCAAUAAUAAAGGUCUGGUUUAUGCGUUCCGGGAGGACUUCGGGGUACUUUUCCAACCAGAAUUUAAUUGCUUUCAUUCCAUAGUCAUGGGGGAUGUUGGUGUAAAGAUUGAUAACAUCGAGGGUGACCAAUACUGCUUCUUCAUUAAUCGUUUUUGGUAGGUGCUCUAACAUGUCUAAAUCAUCCCUAAUAAAGCCUUUGAUGUAUUUCAGCAAGGGUUUCAGUAGGAUGUCUAGAAAAUUGCUCAGUCGGUGGGUUUCACAGGCCGGUCCAGCUACAAUGGGUCUUAAAGUCAAGUCUUCUGGCGUUUGGAUGUUUAUAUAUUUGCCUGGUGAUUGUUUGCAGGCUUCAUUGAUUAUCUUGCUCUUGUGUAUUUUAGGGAGGCUAUAAAAAAGACUGUGUUUACAUUUGAAGUUCGUGAUGUAGUCUCUCUCUCUCUCUCUCUCUCUCUCUCUCUCUCUCUCUCUCUCUAUAUAUAUAUAUAUAUAUAUAUAUAUAUAUAUAUAUAUAUAUAUAUAUAUAUAUAUAUGUAUAUAUAUAUGUAUAUAUAUAUAUGUAUAUAUAUAUGUAUAUAUAUGUAUAUAUAUAUAUAUAUAUAUAUAUAUAUGUAUAUAUAUAUAUAUAUAUAUGUAUAUAUAUAUAUAUAUAUAUAUAUAUAUAUAUAUAUAUAUAUAUAUAUAUAUAUAUAUAUAUAUAUAUAUAUAUAUAUAUAUAUAUAUAUAUAUAUGUGUAUGUACAGUUACAACUAUAUAUAUUUAGGCGAAAGAAACAAAUAAGCAAAUGAAUUUAUAAAUAGAAACAAAAGAAUGGUAGAAAAUGAAUUAUCAAUAAAUCCUCAGAGGAGCGUGAAAUGAUCAUAAUUCGGAUAAACAUUUCCUCUCAUUUCGUUUAGAGAAUGAGAGAAGCGCAAUUUCACCGGGAUCUCAAAUUUUAUGUGGAAUGUAAAGCACUGUGGAAUAAGUAACUCCACAACAAGUUAGCGUGCUGCUACAAAGACAGAUAAAUACAAAGGGCGAGGUAGCAAGUGCAAUUCAUGCACGAUGGAAAACACAAAAUAAUUUUUUUUUUUUUUUCUUGUCCACAUACAAAAUUUUUCAGAAACAACCCUAAUCAGCAGUAUUCUAACUACACCCGGUUACCUGCUAUACCCCUAACCCUGGACUUUAUAUCUAUCUAAGUUCCUUAGAGUUUUCCUUUAACUCUGUAUUAAGAUACCAACCAGGCUCCACAACAGCCCCCAAAACUACAUUUUGGGGAUGACAAUUUCUCCUGUCAGCUUUUUUCUAACAUCUUUUUGACUUUUGCUCUUUUACAUAUUUUCUUACCUCCUAUUUUAUUUCAUGCAACAAUACUCAGAACCCCGAAACAAUACCACAACCCCUCACCUCUUAUAAUCUCUGAUUGUACUCAAGCGAAGCGACUUCCCGCUCUAUAUGUCCAUCCCCUUCUCACCGUGGUGGGGACGCUGGUAACGGGUAGUGUCAGAGUAUGCCGUCGGGAACUUCGCUUCUUGGUAGGGCCACCCAAGGCGGAUUGGUCCGACACCGUGUGGUAUUAGGGCCACAACCCGGCAGACUGGGCUCUGGUGAAAAUCCUCGGAGUGUCUGCUUCGGCAACCGGCGGUUCCUCGGUCGUUCUGUCCCUGCGUCUGCGGACAAUCUGCGGCAAACAGGUUGUCACUACAUGCGGGAUUGUUGGGGAACGCUUGUGAAAUCCACAUAUUCCCACGAAACUCCUUCCAUGAAUUCUCAAUGGCGAAUACAAUGGCAACAUCGGCCUGCGCCGAUGGAACCGUGACUGGCUCGCUAUCUCCAGUGAACUGGCACAGGACCGUUGAGCGUGGGCUGCCAUGGUUCGAGAUGCCUCGAGGGUGGUAGAAGAAGCCGACUCAACCCGCCCAGGGUGAAUGUCGCAACAAGUACAAGUACAAGUACUAUAUGACAAAGCAAGCACCCACUCCACCAUAUGACCAGGCGUUCUCAGUUCAUGCUGCUAUACAACGAGAGAGAAAGUUAUAAACUUUCAGCGGUACAUUUCAGAGUCAACUCACCACAUGGCAGUGUGGUGUCCAAAUUACUUUCAUUCAAACACAAACUGUAUAACAGUACACUACACCAAUUCCAUCAAAUAGCCGUGUCCUGUCUUCUUUACAACGAAGCAUAAACUCUCGUGGCUGUUAAUCAUUGCAUCACAAUAAACAACACACGAUUUAAAAAAAAAAUUCAUUUUAACAAGGCUUGAGGCUACUGUAGCGUAAGGGACUACAAAGAAGGAAAACAAAUUCAAAAGACGCCAGUUGACAGAGAGCUUAAAAAACUGAAUACAAACUAACGAUUGUAGGGAGUUCCAGAGAGCGGAUCUUUUCGGUUUGAACGGCAGUUUUUAACAUAAUUUCUAGGUAACUUAAAAAUGUUAAACUUCGUAUACUGGUAGAAUGUGUUUAUAAAACAUCUUUUUCGCUUGGCUUUAUUGAGAAAAUUCUAUAGUUUGUAAGAUAUUUGUUGUUUUUUUUCUUCAAUUUCUGCAAUUUCAACCAAUCUCUGACGUCUAUUGAGUUAAAAAGCAUUCUGUGCCGUAUGAAUAUGUCCCUCGUUUAAGAAACAAAUUGGGUUCAUUUACAUUUGUGAAGAAAAAAAGAUAUCCUUCCCCCACCCCUAACCCUUACCCUAACCCUAAAAGAGAUUGAAAUACAAUAGAUCGAUUCUAGGGUCAUAAUUAUGCGUGACAAUUUCAUAUGAAACCGCUAGAAAAAACUGCCGUUCAAACCGAAAAGAUCCCAGAGAACAAAGAGGAAAGCUAUUUAGAAUACAAAGGGGUUAAAUACACAAACCGUUUUCUGUACCUCUACUAUACAAUGAGACAUAAGCGGUCAUGAGUUCUAAUCGUUGCCCCUCAGUGGUAAAUUCUACCUUACUCCGUCGGUUUCGACGACGAGCGUUCCAGUCGAUCCGAUCAACGGAACAGCCUGCUCGUGAGAUUAACGUGCAAGUUGCUGAUCACUCCGCAGACAUGUGUACCCUUAAUCUCAGGGAGAUUCAAAGGCUGGCCCUUUGGAAUACAGGGGCUUACUCACUUUUGCCAGCUGAGUGAACUAGAACAACGUGAAACAAAGUGUCUUGUUUAAGGACACAACGCGACGCCGGCAAUAGAAUUCACUGUCUUACGAUCGUGAGCCAAAUACCCUAAUCGCUGAUCACGCGCACCUUAUUAUAUAUAUUUAUGUAGUAUAGAUACGGUUGUCAGAAUCAUUAGCCCACCUGGCGAAAUACUGAGCGGUAUUUUGGCUACCGUUACGUUCUGAGUUCAAAUUCCGCCGAGGUCGACUUUGCCAUUCAUCCUUUCGGGGUCGAUUAAAUAAGUACCAGUUACACACUGGAGUCAAUAUAAUCGACUUAAUCUGUUUGUUUGUCCCCUCUGUGUUUAGCCCCUUGUGGGUAGUAAAGAAAUAGGUAUUUCUAGUGCCGUUACGUUCUGAGUUCAAAUUCCGCCGAGGUCGACUUUGCCUUUCAUCCUUUCGGGGGUCGAUUAAAUAAGUACCAGUUAUGUACUGGGGUCGAUGUAAUCGACUUAAUCCCUGUGUCUGUCCUUGUUUGUCUCAUCUGUGUUUAGCCCCCUUGUGGCAAUAAAGAAAUAAAUAUUGGAUUGACUUCCUUGUAAAAUCAACUUGAGUUAUUUCCCUUGGUAUAAGUCUGCAAUCUCAGAAAAAAGAUGACA